GAUGAACGCUAGCUACAGGCUUAACACAUGCAAGUCGAGGGGCAGCAUGGUCUUAGCUUGCUAAGGCCGAUGGCGACCGGCGCACGGGUGAGUAACACGUAUCCAACCUGCCGUCUACUCUUGGACAGCCUUCUGAAAGGAAGAUUAAUACAAGAUGGCAUCAUGAGUCCGCAUGUUCACAUGAUUAAAGGUAUUCCGGUAGACGAUGGGGAUGCGUUCCAUUAGAUAGUAGGCGGGGUAACGGCCCACCUAGUCUUCGAUGGAUAGGGGUUCUGAGAGGAAGGUCCCCCACAUUGGAACUGAGACACGGUCCAAACUCCUACGGGAGGCAGCAGUGAGGAAUAUUGGUCAAUGGGCGAGAGCCUGAACCAGCCAAGUAGCGUGAAGGAUGACUGCCCUAUGGGUUGUAAACUUCUUUUAUAAAGGAAUAAAGUCGGGUAUGGAUACCCGUUUGCAUGUACUUUAUGAAUAAGGAUCGGCUAACUCCGUGCCAGCAGCCGCGGUAAUACGGAGGAUCCGAGCGUUAUCCGGAUUUAUUGGGUUUAAAGGGAGCGUAGAUGGAUGUUUAAGUCAGUUGUGAAAGUUUGCGGCUCAACCGUAAAAUUGCAGUUGAUACUGGAUAUCUUGAGUGCAGUUGAGGCAGGCGGAAUUCGUGGUGUAGCGGUGAAAUGCUUAGAUAUCACGAAGAACUCCGAUUGCGAAGGCAGCCUGCUAAGCUGCAACUGACAUUGAGGCUCGAAAGUGUGGGUAUCAAACAGGAUUAGAUACCCUGGUAGUCCACACGGUAAACGAUGAAUACUCGCUGUUUGCGAUAUACUGCAAGCGGCCAAGCGAAAGCGCUAAGUAUUCCACCUGGGGAGUACGCCGGCAACGGUGAAACUCAAAGGAAUUGACGGGGGCCCGCACAAGCGGAGGAACAUGUGGUUUAAUUCGAUGAUACGCGAGGAACCUUACCCGGGCUUAAAUUGCAGAUGAAUUACGGUGAAAGCCGUAAGCCGCAAGGCAUCUGUGAAGGUGCUGCAUGGUUGUCGUCAGCUCGUGCCGUGAGGUGUCGGCUUAAGUGCCAUAACGAGCGCAACCCUUGUUGUCAGUUACUAACAGGUUCCGCUGAGGACUCUGACAAGACUGCCAUCGUAAGAUGUGAGGAAGGUGGGGAUGACGUCAAAUCAGCACGGCCCUUACGUCCGGGGCUACACACGUGUUACAAUGGGGGGUACAGAGGGCCGCUACCACGCGAGUGGAUGCCAAUCCCCAAAACCUCUCUCAGUUCGGACUGGAGUCUGCAACCCGACUCCACGAAGCUGGAUUCGCUAGUAAUCGCGCAUCAGCCACGGCGCGGUGAAUACGUUCCCGGGCCU
rnacentral:rRNA from 1 species